UACGUAGGGUGCGAGCGUUGUCCGGAAUUACUGGGCGUAAAGAGCUCGUAGGCGGUUUGUCACGUCGGCCGUGAAAACCUGCAGCUUAACUGUGGGCGUGCGGUCGAUACGGGCAUCACUGGAGUUCGGCAGGGGAGACUGGAAUUCCUGGUGUAGCGGUGAAAUGCGCAGAUAUCAGGAGGAACACCGGUGGCGAAGGCGGGUCUCUGGGCCGAUACUGACGCUGAGGAGCGAAAGCGUGGGGAGCGAACAGG
rnacentral:rRNA from 1 species